AUCAGUACUGGUAUAUAGAAUACUAUCUUUGGUUAGCUCAUCUAUAUAUGUUUUAAUUGUAAUAAUGCUCUUUAAAAAAGAUAGUAUUACUUUCUAAAAAUUAAUUUGUAACACAAAACUAAUAUUUUUAGUACAUCAGGACCAUCCAAAAUUCGAAAUUAAAAUAGCUUUCUUACCAUUGACGCAAGGCCAACAUCUGACGACAGGUUGUCGUAACGCGAAAGCGCAAACUCCAAUGAAAAGCGGCUUUAAGUAAAACAAUUGCAGUGCAAUUACAGUUUUUAU
rnacentral:misc_RNA from 1 species